rnacentral:tRNA from 1 species
GGGGGUUGGGGCGGUAGUUAAGUUGGUUAUAGCGCCGGCCUGUCACGCCGGAGGUCGCGGGUUCGAGCCCCGUCACUCCCGCCA